UGUCUAUAUGAAGAUAUUUAUAGUCUGGCCUGCUCCCUGACUAUAAAGUUAAAGAGCCGCGGUAAUUUGACCGUGCAAAGGUAGCAUAAUCAUUAGUUUCUUAAUUGGGAACUUGUAUGAAAGGUCUGACAAAGAAAAAGCUGUCUUUAUUAUGAAAGUUGAAUUUAACUUUUAAGUGAAAAGGCUUAAAUAAUUUAGAGGGACGAUAAGACCCUAUAAAGCUUUAUAUAAAAAAUAAUUAAAAUUAAAUUUAUAAUAAAGAUUUAAAUUAAUUAUUAUAUUUUAUUGGGGUGAUAAUGAUAAAAAUAAUAUUAACUGUUGAAUAAAUAUACAUAAAUAAAAGAGUUAAGUUAGUUAAUGAUCCUUAUUUAAAGAUUAAAAGAUUAAGUUACUUUAGGGAUAACAGCGUAAUUUUUCUUGAGAGUUCAUAUCGAAAGAAAAGAUUUCGACCUCGAUGUUGAAUUAAGAUAUCUAUGUAAAGCAGUCAUUACAUAAGAAG
rnacentral:rRNA from 2 species